GAAAGUAAGCAAGGGCAGACGGUGGAUGCCUUGGCUCUCGGAGGCGAUGAAGGACGUGAUAAGCUGCGAUAAGCUUGGGGUAGGUGCAAAUAACCUUUGAUCCCAAGAUUUCCGAAUGGGGCAACCCGGCUGGUAGAAGGCCAGUCAUUCCGUAAGGAAGGCGAACGUGGGGAACUGAAACAUCUAAGUACCCAUAGGAGAAGAAAACAAAAGUGAUUCCGCAAGUAGUGGCGAGCGAACGCGGAACAGCCCAAACCGAUGAUGUUUAGGCAUUGUCGGGGUAGUAGGACCACGUUGUGGCAAGAGAUUAAGGAAGUAGAACGUUUUGGAACAAACGGCCGUAGACGGUGAAAGCCCAGUAUACGACUCUUUAACGAAGCCUAGUGGAAUCCUGAGUAGCGCGGAGCACGAGAAAUUCUGUGUGAAUCAGCGGGGCCCAUCCCGUAAGGCUAAAUACUCCCGAGAGACCGAUAGCGAACCAGUACCGUGAGGGAAAGGUGAAAAGAACCCCGAGCAGGGGAGUGAAAUAGACCCUGAACCCGUCUGCCUACAAGCGGUCGGAGCAUCGUCAAGAUGUGACGGCGUGCCUUUUGCAUAAUGAACCUACGAGUUACCUUCCCCGGCAAGGUUAAGUACCUAAGGUACGGAGCCGAAGCGAAAGCGAGUCUGAAGAGGGCGGCCAGUCGGGGGGGGUAGACGCGAAACCGAGUGAUCUACCCUUGGCCAGGUUGAAGGUUGGGUAACACCAACUGGAGGACCGGAUGGGUAAGCGUUGAAAAGCUUUCCAAUGAGCUGAGGGUAGGGGUGAAAGGCUAAUCAAACUCGGAGAUAGCUCGUACUCCCCGAAAUGCAUUUAGGUGCAGCCUCUUUAUAGUAUAUCGUGAGGUAGAGCGACUGAUUGGAUGCGAGGGCUUCACCGCCUAUCAAGUCCAGAUAAACUCCGAAUGCGCGAUAUAUAUUUACAGGGAGUGAGGGCGCGGGUGCUAAGGUCCGUGUCCGAGAGGAGAAGAAUCCAGACCACCGGCUAAGGCCCCCAAAUGAUCGUUGAGUUGAACUAACGAGGUCGGAUCGCAGAGACAGCUAGGAUGUUGGCUUGGAAGCAGCCAUUCAUUUAAAGAGUGCGUAACAGCUCACUAGUCGAGGAGUCCGGCGUGGAUAAUACUCGGGCAUAAACUGUUUACCGAAGCUAUGGAUGUAGAAAUACAUGGUAGGGGAGCAUUCCAACGGCGUUGAAGGUGAAGGAUGACCUUUGCUGGAGCUUUUGGAAACGCAAAUGUAGGUAUAAGUAACGAUAAAGGAGGUGAGAAACCUCCUCGCCGAAAGACUAAGGUUUCCUGAUCAACGUUAAUCGGAUCAGGGUAAGUCGGGACCUAAGGUUAAGCCGAACGGCGAUACCGAUGGAAGAAUGGUUUAAUAUUCCCAUACUACUUUAUGGAGCGAUGUGGAGACGGAGAAGUGAAAGUCCUGCCAUCUGACGGAAUAGGUGGUUGAAGAGUGUAGAUGUAGAUUCCUGUAGGCAAAUCCGCAGGGAGAGUCGACCUUGACAGUAUGCCGCGUGCUUGCACAAGGCAAAAUGGACGUAAUCAGGCUCCCAAGAAAAUCCGCUAAGCAUAUUCAUAAAGUACCCGUACCGUAAACGGACACACGUAGUUGGGUUGAAAAUACUGAGGCGCUCGAGUGAUUCACGGUUAAGGAACUAGGCAAAUUGACCCUGUAACUUCGGGAUAAAGGGUCCCUACCCGGUGACGGGAGGGCGCAGAGAAUAGGUCCAGGCAACUGUUUAACAAAAACACAGGGCUGUGCCAAUAUGAAAGUAGACGUAUACAGCCUGACACCUGCCCGGUGCUGGAAGGUUAAGAGGAGAUGUCAUCGCAAGAGAAGCAUUGAAUUGAAGCCCCAGUAAACGGCGGCCGUAACUAUAACGGUCCUAAGGUAGCGAAAUUCCUUGUCGGGUAAGUUCCGACCUGCACGAA
rnacentral:rRNA from 1 species